CCGUGGUUUGAACUGUCUACUUAAUUGUGAUAACGGGCGAGACAACCGCUGCCAAGUAUUUGGGGCUAGUUCGCUAGGCACUAAAUAAUUAGCAGGACUGCCGAAGAGAUUCGGAGGAAGUGGUUGCCAUAACA
rnacentral:rRNA from 1 species